rnacentral:rRNA from 1 species
GAUGAACGCUGGCGGCGUGCUUAACGCAUGCAAGUCGAACGGUGAAGCAGGAGCUUGCUCCUGUGGAUCAGUGGCGAACGGGUGAGUAACACGUGAGCAAUCUGCCCUGGACUCUGGGAUAAGCGUUGGAAACGACGUCUAAUACCGGAUACGAGGCGUGGGGGCAUCCCCAACGCCUGGAAAGAACUUCGGUCCAGGAUGAGCUCGCGGCCUAUCAGGUAGUUGGUGAGGUAACGGCUCACCAAGCCUACGACGGGUAGCCGGCCUGAGAGGGUGACCGACCACACUGGGACUAGGACGCGGCCCGGACUCCUGCGGGAGGCAGAAGUGGGGGAUAUUGCACAAUGGGCGCCAGCCUGAUGCAGCAACGCAGCGUGAGGGACGACGGCCUUCGGGUUGUAAACCUCUUUUAGCGGGGAAGAAGCGAAAGUGACGGUACCUGCAGAAAAAGCACCGGCUAACUACGUGCCAGCAGCCGCCGUAACAC